rnacentral:siRNA from 1 species
UUGAGCUUGACUCUAGUCCGAC